AGCCACUUGAAAAUUGCCCAGCUAAAGUUAUUCCUUGGGCCGAAAUAAUUCUGCUUUCUGCAAUGAAGUGUCAUCACAGGCUUGAGUAAACCAGAGAAGGAAAAACCUACUGAGGGGUUGUCAGUGACAGACAGCAAGAAAACCUUUCCACAGUUGGACUUUUUUUCAUCCCAGUUAGUGCUGCUCCAGUGCUCUUGAAUGUGUCCUCAGCAGAGGAAGAUUAUCGGCGAGUCGAUUUCUCCCCUCUCUGACUCAGCCUGCAAAACACGGUCUCAUUUUAGAAAACAGGUAUUGCCCAAUAGGACAUGGCUGCUGCUGCCAAAAUUCAAUCUGAAAAAAUAGGGCAAGCUUAAACUGCUGUGGCCUAUGGUCAGAAACAGAAUCUUUGUGCCUCUGUACUGAGCUUCUCCCUGCCCACUCCUGCUGCCCCUGAACUACUUCCUUUCUUCCUUUACAGCAGCUAAGACACGUUCUGUCCCUAAGGACUGUCCCAUCUAAAAAUAAGUGCUCUUGACACACAAGAGAUGUCAGACUAGCACAGCAGGAUGCUGAAGCGUCUCUAGAUGUGUAGCAGGGCUUCUCUUACAGUGGGUUGCAGCAAUUUAGGAAUUCACACUUGAUAAAUGCAAUAUGGGCGGCUUCUUUUUAUCUCUUGCAAAUGGUGCCAGGGCUGAUGUAUUCCUGAUCCUUAUUUGGCAAUCCAGCUUGCUUCUUCUAUGCUGUUCUUUGGAAUCACAAAAUUCUAAUGUUUGAUGAAGCAAACAUGCACUGUUAUUGUAUAUAGCUUUCUCACUGACAUCUAUAGGUGAACUGUCAUUGUCAGCUGCUGGCUCAACCUUUGGUUUAGGUCUACAUUUUGUCAGAACAUACUUGUACAGAAACAUACUCUGCUCUGACAGUAUUUCUAAAGCACAAAGAUAAUGCCUGAACUCUGGGAAGUUUCUUACCUAUAGCUGAAACAACUCCUCUUCACCUUCUUUUUCAAUCUCAUUUUCCAGAUACAGCGAUACAGCAACAGGCUACUCUGUAUUACACAUAAUUAAUGCUAUUACUUGAUUCAAUUAUCCUUGCCCUUGCUCCUUUUUCAAGAUUAAGCUAAAGCCCUGCCAGAGCAAGGCCUGGAGAGAUGAUCUGUCCUUCUUACUUACCGUGGUGCUUGGUGCAUCAGAAAGCUGCACAUUGAAGCUGUUCAAGCUUUUACAAUUGUUUGCAGUUCCACUGGCUCUUCCUGCACUUUAGCCAGAAACAACCUCUGCUGCCACUCCUCUCCUGCCUUCAGGGCCCCACUGAGGUCUGUCUGCGACAGCUCCACCCUUGGCUGCUGCUCUGCAAGGACCGAGCCAGAGUGGCCAGGCACACCUGGGGCGGGCACACAGAGCACAGCGUGGCACACCCGGCUGGGGACGCUGUCCCCGGCCAACCGCACAACUCAAAAAGGUCUCUGCAGCCCCCUUCAGCUUCAGGUGUUCAUUAAGAGUCAUUCUGCCCUAAUUUUUUAUGGAACCUCUGCCAGUUAAAUUAUUCAUUUUAGAAAAAAAAUCCCAAACAACUGGAGAGUCCUUUUCAAAUUCCUAAAAUACUAAACCAAGUAAAUUAUUGUCAAACUCGGUAUUUAUAGAAAAUUAGCUGGAAAACAAAGAUGACAACCCUCAUCUGAGCUAGUUGCUUUUGGCCUGAAGGCUGAGUAUUAUUAAAUUCUGCAUGAACAUGAUUGUUACUGCAUGAAACUUAAUACCCAUAUGUUCAACACAAUUAGUUCUUCCAAGGCAGGCAAUUCAGUAAUAAACAGUACCAUCCUUUAAAUCAAAACACAAAACAAGGAUGGAACACAAAUUCUGCAUUAUUAUUAGUUUCUUGUUUGAGAAAAUUUCAUUUCAGCAAAGGGAGAACAUUACAGAACAGUGUGUACUGAAGGUAAGUACUAAGGUCUGCUACUCCUGAGCUUGCCUCUGAGAGAAGGGAGAGAAUGAUUUCAGGAGGAGGGGCAGAUGAGAUCCCAGCACACACAGACUGGUAUGUAAUAGAUGAACUUCAAGGAGCUUGGCAUACACUUAACUUCAUACUGUUUUUUCCUGUACUAUACUUUAAAAAUAUUAAGGAAAUAAACUUAAACUUCAAUGCUGUU